rnacentral:tRNA from 2 species
GGACGGUUAGCUCAGUGGUAGAGCGCUUCGUUUACACCGAAGAGGCCGCUGGCUCAAUCCCAGCACCGUCCACAA